rnacentral:rRNA from 1 species
AAACCUACGGGAGGCAGCAGUGAGGAAUAUUGGUCAAUGGGCGCGAGCCUGAACCAGCCAAGUCGCGUGAGGGAAGACGGUCCUAUGGAUUGUAAACCUCUUUUGUCGGGGAGCAAAAGACGCCACGCGUGGCGUUCCGAGAGUACCCGAAGAAAAAGCAUCGGCUAACUACGUGCCAGCAGCCGCGGUAAUACAUAGGGGGCAAGCGUUAUCCGGAAUUACUGGGUGUAAAGGGAGCGUAGACGGUUAAGUAAGUCUGGAGUGAAAGGCCGGGGCCCAACCCCGGGACUGCUCUGCAAACUAUU